UACGGAGGGGGCUAGCGUUGUUCGGAAUUACUGGGCGUAAAGCGCACGUAGGCGGACUGUUAAGUCGGGGGUGAAAUCCUGGGGCUCAACCUCAGAAUUGCCUCCGAUACUGGCAGUCUCGAGUGCGGGAGAGGUGAGUGGAAUUCCCAGUGUAGAGGUGAAAUUCGUAGAUAUUGGGAAGAACACCAGUGGCGAAGGCGGCCCCCUGGUUGGAUACUGACGCUGAGACGCGAAAGCGUGGGGAGCAAACAGG
rnacentral:rRNA from 1 species